AAAACAUGGCGUUAGGUUUGAUUUCUAAGGUCGGGCCUGCCCGCUGAAUUAGGUUUUGAAGGGCCGCGGUAAACCUGGACCGUGCUAAGGUAGCAUAAUCAUUUGCUCUUUAAAUGGGAGMUGGUAUGAAAGGUCUGACGAAAGAGAAGCUGUCUUCUAAAGUUUCUUAGAAUUUGACCUUUAAGUGAAAAGGCUUAGAUAAUUUAGGGGGACGAUAAGACCCUAUGAAACUUUAUAUUUACAUAGGUGGGAGAUUUCUUUAGGUUUAAAAAGAUCUCUUUCUUGUGGGUAUUGUGUUGGGGCAACCGGAAUAGAUAUAGAAUUUGUUUUUUAUAAUAAGUUAAUGAUAAUUAAUGUUUGAUCCCUUUUAAGGAUUAUAAGAUUAAGUUACUCUAGGGAUAACAGCACUAUUUUCUUUGAGAGACCAUAUCGACAAGAGUAGUAGUGACCUCGAUGUUGAAUCAAUAUUUCUGUUUAGCGCAGGGGCUAGAUAGUAGGUCUGUUCGACCUUUAAAAUGUUACGUGAUUUGAGUUCAAGCCGACGUGAGCCAGGUU
rnacentral:rRNA from 1 species